rnacentral:rRNA from 1 species
UACGGGAGGCAGCAGUGGGGAAUAUUGGACAAUGGGCGAAAGCCUGAUCCAGCAAUGCCGCGUGUGUGAAGAAGGUCUUCGGAUUGUAAAGCACUUUAAGUUGGGAGGAAGGGCAAUUACCUAAUACGUGAUGGUUUUGACGUUACCGACAGAAUAAGCACCGGCUAACUCU